rnacentral:rRNA from 1 species
CUAUCCCGAAGUGCUUGUGGGCUAACUGAAGUUGGUGGUAUUGUUACAUAAAUGUUGGCAAUUUUUAGUUAGGGAUGAAAUAUUAGUCAAACAGCAGGGUAUCUGGUUUUUUCAUAAAUAAAUUGAAUUUAUGAGGUUGUUUAUCUUUAAAGUGUUGUUAGGAUUAGCUAAUAGUAAGUCAAUAUUAGGUGGGAGGUUGUCUUCGAUAGGAUUAAUAAUGGUUAUUUGUUAUAUUUUGUUAUUAUUUAGGUGUGAAGAAAAGCAUUAUAAUGAAAUUUGGGGGUUAUGAGAGUGUGUAAUAAAGUGAGCUAAUUAUAAAAAUAUUGAGUGUAUUAGUAGUUUAAGUGGUGUUUACGUUAAUGGGCAUAGAAGAAGAAGUACGGAGGAAGUUGAGGUAUUAUUAAGGAACUCGGCACAGUAGUCUUGCCUGUUUAAUAAAAACAUGGUUCUUCGGGGUUUGGUGAAGAAUCUGGCCUGCCCGCUGACUUGGGUUGAAGGGCUGCAGUAUUUUGACUGUACAAAGGUAGCAUAAUCAUUAGUCUUUUGAUUGGGGGCUGGAAUGAAGGGCUUGACAGGAUUACACUGUCUCAGUAAUAAGAAAUAAAUUUUACAUCCUUGUGAAAAGGCAAGGAUGAUCUAUAGGGACGAGAAGACCCUAUAAAACUUAACUUUAAUUGGUGUGUUAUUUAGACGAUUAAUAUGAUAUGUUUAUUAAGGAUUUGCUGGGGCGGUAUUUAUUUUACAUAAAUUUGAUUAGAUAACGAUUGUUAGCUUGAGUAGUGAUCCGGUAUUUUAGGUCGAUAAGAAGAAAGAGUUACUUUAGGGAUAACAGCGUAAUGGUCUCUGAGAGUUCUUAUUGACGGGGCUGUUUGCGACCUCGAUGUUGGAUUAGGGAGUCUUCUUGGCGCAGCCGUUAAGAAAGAUAGUCUGUUCGACUAUUAAAUCCUUACAUGAUCUGAGUUUAAACCGGCGUGAGCCAGGUUGGUUUUUAUCUUUUAUUAAUGAGGUUGAAGCGGUAGUACGAAAGGACCCC